rnacentral:rRNA from 1 species
AACGAACGCUGGCGGCAGGCCUAACACAUGCAAGUCGAGCGCCCUCGCGAGGGGGAGCGGCGGACGGGUGAGUAACGCGUGGGAACGUGCCUCUUGCUUCGGAGUAGCCUCGGGAAACUGGGGGUAAUACCGAAUGUGCCCUACGCGGGUAAGAUUUAUCGGCAAGAGAUCGGCCCGCGUUGGAUUAGGUAGUUGGUGUGGUAAUGGCCUACCAAGCCGACGAUCCAUAGCUGGUUUGAGAGGAUGAUCAGCCACACUGGGACUGAGACACGGCCCAGACUCCUACGGGAGGCAGCAGUGGGGAAUCUUAGACAAUGGGCGCAAGCCUGAUCUAGCCAUGCCGCGUGAGCGAUGAAGGCCUUAGGGUUGUAAAGCUCUUUCGUGGGGGAAGAUAAUGACUGUACCCCAAGAAGAAGCCCCGGCUAACUCCGUGCCAGCAGCCGCGGUAA